CGGCGGACGGGUGAGUAACGCGUGGGUAACCUGCCUCAUACAGGGGGAUAACAGUUGGAAACGGCUGCUAAUACCGCAUAAGCGCACAGUACCGCAUGGUACGGUGUGAAAAACUCCGGUGGUAUGAGAUGGACCCGCGUCUGAUUAGGUAGUUGGUGGGGUAACGGCCUACCAAGCCGACGAUCAGUAGCCGACCUGAGAGGGUGACCGGCCACAUUGGGACUGAGUCACGGCCCAA
rnacentral:rRNA from 1 species